rfam:Callithrix jacchus chromosome 1, whole genome shotgun sequence
CCAAAGGUUCUUUUCAGAACCGUCAAUUUUCUCAACAGGUGGAGG